rnacentral:lncRNA from 1 species
AAUUCAAAAGAACUAACAAUCAUCAUCAACAAAAGAGAGUAUUCAGUCCCUUCAAAUGGACCAUAACUUAAUCUGGGGAGGCCAAAACUUGGAUGGAAGCUGCAAACCAUCAUAUAACCAAUGUAUCUAAUUCACAUCAAAAUACAUGUGGCGUGCCCCUCGGAAAGCAUAAUCUAGCAAAUUCAGAACCAAUCGAAUGAAUCUGGUUCAGGACUGUAAUCUUGUUUGGAGAUAUUAUGUACUAUCCUCCUCCUUGCCAAGUUCCAAUUAGAUUAAUUUGGCAAGCCAAUGGUAACAAAUCAAAGUAUCAACCUCCGGAUGUUCUUCAGACGACAACCAGGCUUCCAGCGAAGUCAUAUCUGUCUCAUGCUACAUUUCAACUUCUCAGAUUCAAGUUCUUGUUUCAAAGAUUCGAGCCGUUCAAGCAAGUCAAUGUUUUCCUGGUGAAAUCAAACACAUUGACAAACUAUUAAUCGAACUGUGAGUUGUGAGAAUGAUGAUACGCAUUACGGAGAUAACAAUUCAUAGAACUUCACAUUUCUAACAAGAAAGCGGCCAAUUGUAGGGUAAAAGAAGAAGAAGAAGAAGAAGAAGAAGAAGAAGAAGAAAGAGAGACAUCAAGAAAAUCGUCUCAAACAUGCACCUUUUGCAACAUGUCCAACUUCUUC